rnacentral:rRNA from 1 species
AGAGGUUUGAUCCUGGCUCAGAUUGAACGCUGGCGGCAUGCCUUACACAUGCAAGUCGAACGGCAGCACGGACUUCGGUCUGGUGGCGAGUGGCGAACGGGUGAGUAAUACAUCGGAACGUGUCCUGGAGUGGGGGAUAGCCCGGCGAAAGCCGGAUUAAUACCGCAUACGAUCUAUGGAUGAAAGCGGGGGAUCUUCGG